rnacentral:rRNA from 1 species
AUUGAACGCUGGCGGCAGGCCUAACACAUGCAAGUCGAGCGGUAGCACAGAGAGCUUGCUCUCGGGUGACGAGCGGCGGACGGGUGAGUAAUGUCUGGGAAACUGCCUGAUGGAGGGGGAUAACUACUGGAAACGGUAGCUAAUACCGCAUAAUGUCGCAAGACCAAAGUGGGGGACCUUCGGGCCUCAUGCCAUCAGAUGUGCCCAGAUGGGAUUAGCUGGUAGGUGGGGUAAUGGCUCACCUAGGCGACGAUCCCUAGCUGGUCUGAGAGGAUGACCAGCCACACUGGAACUGAGACACGGUCCAGACUCCUACGGGAGGCAGCAGUGGGGAAUAUUGCACAAUGGGCGCAAGCCUGAUGCAGCCAUGCCGCGUGUGUGAAGAAGGCCUUCGGGUUGUAAAGCACUUUCAGCGGGGAGGAAGGCGUUAAGGUUAAUAACCUUGGCGAUUGACGUUACCCGCAGAAGAAGCACCGGCUAACUCCGUGCCAGCAGCCGCGGUAAUACGGAGGGUGCAAGCGUUAAUCGGAAUUACUGGGCGUAAAGCGCACGCAGGCGGUCUGUCAAGUCGGAUGUGAAAUCCCCGGGCUCAACCUGGGAACUGCAUUCGAAACUGGCAGGCUAGAGUCUUGUAGAGGGGGGUAGAAUUCCAGGUGUAGCGGUGAAAUGCGUAGAGAUCUGGAGGAAUACCGGUGGCGAAGGCGGCCCCCUGGACAAAGACUGACGCUCAGGUGCGAAAGCGUGGGGAGCAAACAGGAUUAGAUACCCUGGUAGUCCACGCCGUAAACGAUGUCGAUUUGGAGGUUGUGCCCUUGAGACGUGGCUUCCGGAGCUAACGCGUUAAAUCGACCGCCUGGGGAGUACGGCCGCAAGGUUAAAACUCAAAUGAAUUGACGGGGGCCCGCACAAGCGGUGGAGCAUGUGGUUUAAUUCGAUGCAACGCGAAGAACCUUACCUGGUCUUGACAUCCACAGAACUUAGCAGAGAUGCUUUGGUGCCUUCGGGAACUGUGAGACAGGUGCUGCAUGGCUGUCGUCAGCUCGUGUUGUGAAAUGUUGGGUUAAGUCCCGCAACGAGCGCAACCCUUAUCCUUUGUUGCCAGCGGUCCGGCCGGGAACUCAAAGGAGACUGCCAGUGAUAAACUGGAGGAAGGUGGGGAUGACGUCAAGUCAUCAUGGCCCUUACGACCAGGGCUACACACGUGCUACAAUGGCAUAUACAAAGAGAAGCGACCUCGCGAGAGCAAGCGGACCUCAUAAAGUAUGUCGUAGUCCGGAUUGGAGUCUGCAACUCGACUCCAUGAAGUCGGAAUCGCUAGUAAUCGUAGAUCAGAAUGCUACGGUGAAUACGUUCCCGGGCCU